AUGGAGAUCGACGCGGCGGUCCGGGCGAGCAGCGACGCCCGGCUGCGCACCAAGUACGACAACGCCGUCUACGUCGUCCAGCGAGCCUUCGCGCUCUACCCGUUUGGGGAGAUUGCCUUCAGCUUUAAUGGCGGGAAGGAUUCAACCGUACUCUUGCAUUUAAUACGGGCAGGAUACUAUCUUCACAAAACAAGUUGUGGGGACGAAGCUCAAAUCAAUACUGUUCAAAACUGUCCGCUGCGUACCAUCUAUUUCGAGACCCCUUGUGCUUUCCCUGAAAUCAACUCAUUCACUUAUGAAACAGUCUCAACUUAUGGUUUGCCACUGGAAACUAUCCGGUCAGAUUUCAAAUCUGGUCUAGAAGGCCUAUUGAAAGAGAAGUCAACUAAAGCCAUUUUCAUUGGCACUAGAAUCGGAGAUCCAAAUGCGGUCGGUCAAGAACAAUUCUCUCCUAGUUCGCCUGGCUGGCCUCCUUUUAUGAGGGUGAAUCCUAUCUUGGAUUGGUCAUACAGGGAUGUUUGGUCUUUCCUCUUAACCUGUAAGGUCAAAUACUGCAGCCUUUAUGAUGAGGGGUAUACAUCCAUUGGGAGCAUAUAUGAUACUGUUCCAAAUGCACUUCUUAGUGAUUCAUCUACUGGGAACAGCUUUAGACCGGCAUACAUGUUAUCAGAUGGAAGACUUGAAAGAGCUGGGAGAGCGAAGAAGACUAGCAACAAAACGGAAACUAAUUCUGUUGCAAGCAAUGGCAUGAACAAUGCUGAGGGAGAGCAAAUGAUCUCACGUUCGGCUUCAGUUAUUGUAGUUGGUGAUGAAAUAUUGUUUGGCACAGUUGAGGAUAAAUUUGGCGCAGCCUUGUGCAAGAAGCUUCAUGAAAUUGGCUGGCGAGUUUCUCAAGUCACGGUUGUUCACAAUGAAAUUGAUUCUGUUGCCGAGGAAGUCGAACAAUGUAAAUCUACUGAUGACGUGGUAUUUAUUUUUGGGGGACUUGGGCCUCUACAUUCAGAUGUUUCAUUGGCUGGUGUUGCAAAAGCAUUUGGAGUUCGCCUGGCUCCUGAUGAAGAGUUUGAGGAGCAUCUUAGUCAACUCAUAGGGAACAGUUACAUUGGUGAUCGAAAUGAGAUGGCUUUGUUGCCAGAAGGUAUUACCGAAUUAUUACAUCACAAGAUGCUCCCGUUGCCACUGAUCAAAUGCAAGAAUGUGAUCAUUCUUUCUGCAACUAAUGUGGAUGAACUGGACAUGGAGUGGAAUUGUCUUCUGGAUACCCAAGAGAGUGGUUUACUGAGGACGAAACCUUUUGUAUCAAAACAUCUCAGCACUUUACUCCCAGAUGUCAAAAUUGCUCCGGUGGUUGCAAAGCUAUGCUUGGAGUUUUCUGAUGUGUACAUAGGUUCUCAUCGGAUUUCGAGAAAGGGGCCGUUGGUUGUGAGUCUUAUUGGAAAGGAUUAUCAAAGGGUAGAAGGGGCUGCGGCGAAGCUGUCAGGCAGCUUUGAAGGACUAUUUUCCCAAGUUGACAGCUCCAAAUAG
rnacentral:rRNA from 1 species